CCUGGGGGCUGGGAAGCCAGUUCUGCAUACUCUUAGAGGGGGCUGGGGGUGCCCCCUGAGUGAGGUCUCAUUCCCAAGAAGCCAGGUCCUGCAGAAAGUAACUUUUUUGGAGAGGUGACAACAGAAUUCCUUUUGAGCGAGAUUUCCUUCCUCCGUGUAUUUAUUUACUUUGGGCUGAGUGAUUCAGCGAAAGGACCUCAAAACCAGGCUCCAGUGGAAGGCAGGAAGAACCAAACCCUCAGACAUCAAUGUCCCACACAUCUACACUGAACUGGACUGAGAACGUGCAAGGUUGCGGUGGAAGUAGUGCCAGCCUGGGAGUUAAUUCGGGGGACCUGGGUUCCGUUUCUCCUUUGGUGUACCAAGCCACAGGACCUUGGACGCAAAGGUGAUCAAACUGCACUACAUCACAACAUGACUGGAGAAGAAUGUGACCAUCAGCUGGGUGACUCAGGACUACUGGAGUGUCCCACCAUCCUGGCCUCUCACAUUCACUCUCCCACUCCAGGCAGCUGUUCAGCUCUGCAUCCUGUCCUCCCAUGUGGCUCAUAGAUCCUCCAUCUGUAGACCCUCCCUGGUGAUGAGGUUGAUGCUGUCCUUGAAAACAUCAGAUGUGGUCAGAAGAGAACGGCCAACCACCAUAUCCACCCUCCUUGUGGUGCCGACCCCCCCCCCCCCCAUACGCUGCCUUCUCUCUCGGUCCCGGGAUGAAUCCUGCGCUCCUGCUCAAGGUGCUGUAGACAUCACACUCUCCAAUUCUCGGAUGUUGUGCCAACAGCAUCUCUCUCAUAUCCUGCAUCCUCUUUGCUUUCUCUGUGAGUCAUUUCCAAUACUGAAACAUGCCAUUGUAAUCUCUACUUAAUAAAAGCCUUCUGUUGA